UACGGGGGGGGCAAGCGUUGUUCGGAAUUACUGGGCGUAAAGGGCUCGUAGGCGGCCAACUAAGUCAGACGUGAAAUCCCUCGGCUUAACCGGGGAACUGCGUCCGAUACUGGCAGGCUUGAAUCCGGGAGAGGGAUGCGGAAUUCCAGGUGUAGCGGUGAAAUGCGUAGAUAUCUGGAGGAACACCGGUGGCGAAGGCGGCAUCCUGGACCGGCAUUGACGCUGAGGCGCGAAAGCGUGGGGAGCAAACAGG
rnacentral:rRNA from 1 species